UACAGCAAGCCUGUUUCUUCUGGGUCAGGAUACAAGCUUUAAUUUAAGAUCAAGGAGGAAGAAAAGAAAUUUUAUGUUGAUGGAUCUUUAAAGGAAUGUCUGCCUGAACCCCAUUCAAAAGAAAAUUCAUGGAAUUAAGUGUGUUAUGGAUCAUUUUUGCAUCAUGGGAAAAACUUGGAGUUCCAGUUGGACCCUUACAAACUGUGUGUGCAAGGUUUAAAUCUAAUUUGCAACAUUGAUAUGGAUGAAUAUGUCAAAACAAAAGGACUCUUUCCAUCAUUGGACUUUAAUAUUUUGGAUAACCAAGGCCAAUGAGUGUCUGAAAAGAAUUAAUUCCUGUACAGCAUUCAACACAAUUUUGUCUGUGAAUACCAGUAAUAACAUUCUACUUCAUUUCUCCACUUCUGGGCACAGUUUGACUGGGAUUCUUUUUACCCCUCUUCGAUUUCUACAUUUUAAACCACUGUUUAUAUCAGCAGCCUGGCUGAAGAAUGUCUGAAAGAGUUUGAAGUUCAAGGGGAUGUUUGUGUGUGUUUUGGCAGAUGUUAAGAAGUUUUUCAAAAAAUGAGUGCUGGUGUCUUACUAGAGGAAACUUCUGUCUUCCAACUGAGAACCUCUUGAGAGCUUAUUUGUUGCUCUACAUGCUCUGUCUGGUAUGGCAGUGAUACCUUUCACAUUUUA